UUCCUGGUGGCUCAGAUGGUAAAGAAUCUGCCUGCAAUGCAGGAGACCUGGGUUCAACCCCUUGGUGGGAAA
rnacentral:tRNA from 1 species